UACUAGCGAUUCCGACUUCAUGGAGUCGAGUUGCAGACUCCAAUCCGGACUACGACGCACUUUAUGAGGUCCGCUUGCUCUCGCGAGGUCGCUUCUCUUUGUAUGCGCCAUUGUAGCACGUGUGUAGCCCUACUCGUAAGGGCCAUGAUGACUUGACGUCAUCCCCACCUUCCUCCAGUUUAUCACUGGCAGUCUCCUUUGAGUUCCCGGCCUAACCGCUGGCAACAAAGGAUAAGGGUUGCGCUCGUUGCGGGACUUAACCCAACAUUUCACAACACGAGCUGACGACAGCCAUGCAGCACCUGUCUCAGAGUUCCCGAAGGCACCAAAGCAUCUCUGCUAAGUUCUCUGGAUGUCAAGAGUAGGUAAGGUUCUUCGCGUUGCAUCGAAUUAAACCACAUGCUCCACCGCUUGUGCGGGCCCCCGUCAAUUCAUUUGAGUUUUAACCUUGCGGCCGUACUCCCCAGGCGGUCGACUUAACGCGUUAGCUCCGGAAGCCACGCCUCAAGGGCACAACCUCCAAGUCGACAUCGUUUACGGCGUGGACUACCAGGGGUAUCUAAUCCUGUUUGCUCCCCACGCUUUCCACC
rnacentral:rRNA from 1 species